rnacentral:rRNA from 1 species
GCAGGCAGAUCCAAUUUUCUGCCACCGAAUACAUUAGCAUGGGAUAAUGGAAUAGGACCCUGUCCUCCUAUUUUCAGUUGGUUUUGGCAGCGCGAGGACUAGGGUAAUGAUUAAUAGGGAUAGUUGGGGGCAUUAAUAUUUAAUUGUCAGAGGUGAAAUUCUUGGAUUUAUGAAAGAUUAACUUCUGCGAAAGCAUCUGCCAAGGAUGUUUUCAUUAAUCAAGAACGAAAGUUAGGGGAUCGAAGACGAUCAGAUACCGUCGUAGUCUUAACCAUAAACGAUGCCGACCAGCGAUUAGGAGACGUUGAAUACAAAACACCACCAUCGGCGCGGUCGUCCUUGGCGUCUGUCCCUUUCAACGGGGGCAGGCGCGAGGGCGGUUUAGCCCGGUGGCACCGGUGAAUGACUCCCCUAGCAGCUUGUGAGA